AUUCUGUAGCCUCAGACAUGUCUACAAGGAAGAAACUGAGGGGGAAAAAAUCACCCAAAGAAUGUAACCAUGGGAUCCUAGAAGGGGAACCUUACUACCCAGUGAAGAGGGUGAUCCGCUGCAAAAAGCAGAAGGGGAUCCAAAUGAAGUUGGUGGAAUGGGAGCCCUGUUCACUCUGUGAGAAAACUUGGCCGCCACAGUGGGUGACGGAGGAGAACACCACGAAUUAAGGAAAUGUUCAAUCCCAUUGUUUUGUUC